UUCACGAUGAAUAUUUAAAUAUUUUAAAUAUAAAAAUUUGUAAAUUUUUUUAUCAUUACAAUUGGCAAUAAAUUUCUGAAUGUUUUAAACGUCGAGUGUACCAUGGAUCACCAUGACAGAAAACGAUCCUGAAGUCGCGCAUGCGCAAUAACAGUAAUUGUGAACAACAUAGGAGAGCGGAGAAUAUGUUUCGUUUUCCGACAAAUUACUUGUGAAAAUAAUGAAUUAUUAAUUGUAGUUUGAUGAAUGUCGCCAACAGAUUUGUUUCACGUUUCUUUCAUUUUUUAAAAGUAAUUAUUUUCUAUGUCUAUAUUAAUAUUACGUUACAAAGACGAGAAAUCAAUGAUCGAAUCGACGGGAUAAUUCAAUUACGCGCUCUGAAAAUUUCUAUCGGCGUGCAUUCGAUCGAAAAUAAAGUUAAUGAACUAUUUCUUUAUUUCGGAAAUAUUAAAUAUAAUUCAAUAUAAAAAAAUUCAUUUAUUCAUAUCUAAUUAACAAUUUAUGUCAAUUAAUAAUUUCAUAAAAUGGAAAAUUACUGUCAAUUCUUUUGAAUAGCGAAAAAUUUCCGAAUUCUAACCUAACUUUUACAAAUUGAAGAUUGCAAAUGUACGAUUGGCGGGAAAUUUUCGGAAAGUAUAAUUGAAUUUUUAUGAAUUUAAAAUUCCAGAUGAUAUUAAGAAACGAAAAUAUAACUUUUUAUCAUUUAUUUAUUAUUAUUUCAACCGAGAUACGACUUUAAACGACUUCGACACUUUGCCUCUUUAAUAUUCCAUCCAAGAUUCAAGAGAAAUGGAAGUUGAAACAGUGAUCAAAGAAGAUGUUCGAUCGUCUCGAAAAGAGAUAAUCAAGAUUCAUUUCGAAGAAGAAACUGAAGGAUACGGUUUUCAGACGUAUAAUUCACGAUCAAGAGGGAGCAUGAAAUUGGAGCGCGGCAAUCAGAAAUGGGACGUUCAUUGAAUUCGACCAGUAAAAGGGAAAGAGUGGGCACGACAAGGAGUAUAACACACAUUAUGAGAGGAAUCGAUAAGAACUGGGUUAACACGAUCAGUUAAAGCAGCAGACAUGCUUCUUUAACAUGACUGUUAUAUUUAAAAUGAUGAUUUUAAUCAGAUGGAAAAUUGAACAAUCCCCAUACGUUUUCCAAUCCAUUCCAUCUUUUUGAUGUCAUUCAUCUUUGUUCCUAUUAUCAGGGACAAAGAUUCAUUUUUCCUGGUACUGAUAAAUCUUUUUUCUUUUUUUAAGAAUCAAUCUUCAACAAAAAUUAGAAUGAAGGAUUGAAGAAGAAGAAUAAUAGGCUAUGAUUUUUUGAACAGAAUCAUCUUCUUGA